GUCGCCUCAAACACUAGGAAAUUAGACUCUGGUAUCUUGAAUGCGUUGAAUCUGGCCUCGAGGGAAUCACCAUUGCGACCCUUAUCCAAUUCCGGGAACACAUCCGGGUCCACUGGACAUCUAUAAAGUGUACACGAACUCAAAUGAUGUCGUACUCAAUAAAAAAAUUGCUUCUUUCUGAUAUCAAGGAAGACGACUCAGCGUAAAAUUAAUUGAACUUCUUAAGUUCAAUCCAAGCAUCAAAGAUCGACAUUAGUUUUUAUGUACCCCUCCGAUGUAAAAUAUGAAGAAGAAAAAAACAGACCGAAAAAAACAGUUCGCAAACCAACAGUAAUUAAUAAUAUAACAUCAUUUUUGUUAUUUAAAAAACGUCUAGUUCACGUUUGAGGAAUCAACUCCAUAGCUUGUAUAUAUAAAAUGUUAAAAAACAAAUCAAUCCAAACGAACAUGCUCGUCGUUUUGCUUUGAAUAAAAAUAAAUUUUGAACUAAAGGAAUA